rnacentral:lncRNA from 1 species
UGAAUUUAAGGUUACUAUAUUUAUUUGUGAAUUUUUGGCGUUAAUUUUUUUAUCUAUUUCAUAUUUUUCCCAUAUUUUAUUAAUUAAUUACUAAUUUUUAGGAUUUAUUAAAAAUACAUAAAUAUUCAAAAGAAUUGUUAAAAUUGUUGAAUUUAAGGUUGCUAUAUUAACUUGUUAAUUUUAUGUUUUUUCCUAUUAUUUAUUAACUAAUUACUCAUUUUU